rnacentral:rRNA from 1 species
CACGUAGGGCGCAAGCGUUGUCCGGAAUUAUUGGGCGUAAAGAGCUCGUAGGCGGUUUGUCGCGUCGGGAGUGAAAACUCAGGGCUUAACCCUGAGCCUGCUUCCGAUACGGGCAGACUAGAGGUAUGCAGGGGAGAACGGAAUUCCUGGUGUAGCGGUGAAAUGCGCAGAUAUCAGGAGGAACACCGGUGGCGAAGGCGGUUCUCUGGGCAUUACCUGACGCUGAGGAGCGAAAGUGUGGGGAGCGAACAGG